UGAUGUUGUGAAUAUUUUACCUGAAUCCUG
rnacentral:piRNA from 1 species